GCUUCGGCAUCCCAAAGUGCUGGGAUUAUAGAUGUGAGCCACUGUGCCCGGCCUAGUGUGGUUUUUAAUUAGUACAGUUUACUUGAUAGUUUCAAAGUACUUUUUUUUUUUUUUUUGUGAGACAGGCCUCACUGCAUUGCCCAGGCUAGAGUGCAGUGGUGUGAUGACUGAGGCUCACUACAGCUUGGAUUUCUCAAGCUCAGGUGAUCCUCCCACCUCAGCCUCUCACAGGUGCGCACCACAAGGCUCAGCUACUUUUUUGUAUUUUUUUUGUAGAGGGUUUUGCCAUGUUGCCCAGGCUGGUCUCGAACUCCUGCACUCAAGUGAUCUGCCUGCCUCAGUCUCCCAGAGUGCUGGGAUUACAGCUCUGACUCAGAUUUUGAAUGGACGUUUGUAUGUAUACCACAGUGCUACAGUAAAAACGAGUCAUGUGGAUGUGGAAAAGGGGGCUGAUCAGGACUCCCUGUUUGCUAACAAAUUCUACAGCAGAAACAAAGUAUUAAGGUUUGGAGCCAGGAAGCAAGUGCAUGGGGAAUAAGCCUGCAGCCUCUUCCAAAUGAGACAGAGCCAAAUCUUUUAGAUAUCUCUCUGAGUCUAUUUUCUUCAUUUCUAUUAAACUAAGGUCCUUUUUAAGCAGUCGAAUUGUCAUCCAAAGCCAGAGUGAGCUACUUUGUUUGGGGGAACAGUAACAGUUACCUCCACCACUGACUGGCUGCCAUCUGGAUUGAUCCGGAAAGAUCCCAUCUGAAUAGUCUUCUUGGGGUCCACCUGGGCAAUUUCCCAUUCUAGUUCAUCCACCAGAGCCCUGCACGCUGGUGGAAGAGGAGAGAAUGGGAGCAGGGGAGAGGGUGGGGGUAGGGUGUGAGGAGAAUGGGAUCAACCCAGGAUUUUCAUUCCUCCUUCUCCCAGGCCUUGGAUCUCAUGCCCUCCCAAGGCUCUGCUUCCUCCACUUCUUUUUCCUGUUGUGCCUUUACCUCCACAGUGGAGAUCCUGGCUCCUCCGAGCCCAGGCAGUUCCCAGCAGGGCCCCCAGAAGCAGGGCCAGCCAACCCCAGCCUUUCAUCUUUAGCGUAAUGGGGUCGCUCCACCUGGGUUUGUGUGGGAAUAAAACAAGGGUGAGAAGCCGACUCCAUUUUUCCCUGACCCCCCCACUCCUCACCCCAAGGCUUUAAAAGGCUUCACUGUGACUCUGGCUCUACUUUCCAGGAAAUGGCCGGGACACAAAGGGGCUUCUCUGUUCCAGCGCUUGAGGGCUCUGAUUCCCCCAGGGCGGUAGGUGGGAGCGCGAGCUCAGGACUUGGGGCUCAGUCCCAGACUCUACGUGGAAAGGUGAGGCCCUAGGUGUUGGUACUUUAGCACUGCAUGCCUAGGGUUCACGGGGCUUUGUGGCAGCUACAGGAGGUAAGUUGGCAAUUACGCGAGGACUACAGGCACUAGGGAAAUGCCAGCAGGGAGCCCUCAGUCAGGCCAGGAGGCCAGCAUUCAAUAAUUAGGGCCCAUUUGGAUCCCGCACCGAAGAUUCCUGCGUCCCCAUCUCCAGCCCGUAAGUUGAUUAUCCUUACGGACCUCAGCCCCCUUUCUAAGGACUCCGCCAUUGCUUUCGCUCCAGUCCAUCCCCAACCCUCAGCGCCCAGCGCCUCGCCGCUCGCAUCCGUCCCACCUCUGCUCCCAGGGCCGCUGCCGUGGCCCAAGCGCUGGAAGACCGCUGGACUCUCACUUUGGCCCCAGUGGCUCCCGAAACUACAGCUGGCUGCGGGGAGCAGGGCUGUCCGGAAUCCUCCAGAGCGCUUCGCCGCUUGCCACACACGGGGUGUCCCGGCGACCGCCUGACCCAGAUCCCGUGGCGCUAACUGGUACCUAGCGGGGCUCGAGCGUGCUGCGGUGCGAGCCCCAAUCAGACACCGACCCCAAACCCGCCCCUCCAAACUCUCGCGCGAACAGGCAGCUUGGGAGAGGCUCCUGGACAGCAAGGACCCCGGUCAAUCGCUGAAGGACCCAGACUUGCGUGGCGAACAGCUCCACGUGACCUCCAGGGGUCAGCCGUAGAAUAGGAGUGGCCUUAAGAGACGACGGAGGCCGGGUGUACUGUAUGGGAGCGGCUAGUCGUGCGCGUGAGCCAACUCAGGUGGGCUAGGACCUUCAAAACGGUGCUCUGCAGGCCAGCGAGCAGCCCAGGUUUCAAUACACAGGAAACUACAUCUCCCAGGAAGCACCGCAGCACCAGACCCAUCUUUGUGAGCAACUACAGGUCUCAAGCUAUCCUGGGACCUGUAGUUUGUCGGCUUACACAAUUAACGGGGAAACCGUACUGUACAUCUUCAGUCUGACGUAGGGUACUGGGCAGCUACAGCAGAGACCCAGCAUUGCCCAGAAAAGGCAUAAUUAUACCUUUUUUUUCCUUUUGUUGAGACGGAGUCUCGCCCUAUUGCCCAGGCUGGCGUACAGUGGCGUAAUCUUGGCGCACUGCAACCUCCGUCUCCCGGGUUCGAGCAAUUCUCUGCCUUAGCUAGGAUUACAGUCGCCACCCACCACGCCCAGCUAAUUUUUGUAUUUUUAGUAGAGACGGGGGUUUCACCAUCUUCGUCACGCUGGUCUUGAACUCCUGACCUGAUCCACCCACCUCGGCCUCCCAAAGUGCUGGGAUUACAGAAGUGACCCACUGCGCCUGGCCUAAUUAUACCCUUUCAUAUCCAUAACUUUGGAUUCCGGACCUUUACCUUCAAAGGAAGGAGAGGAAGACUGAAGCCAGAGAACCCACACUAGCAGUUCCCUAAUGAGAUAAAUGACAAACGGUAUUUUGUUUUUAUUUUAUAAAACAUGCAGUUUACAACAAAUUUUUAAAAAACGGAACAAAACUUGGGACAGGAGAGUGGAUGGAAGACAGAUGCUUCUCAGCCAUCAGCAGGAAUAAAUGAAGCCAGCAGCCAAGCUUUGUCCAGGAUCCAAAGGCCCUUUUGGCAAUGGUAUUGGCAACACUGGUUUGUUUGGGCCACCAACACUCUACUUGCUGGCCCCUCCAGGCAUCCCUGAAGCAGUUGGUGACUUGUGCUGUCUUGAACUACCGUGGUAUCCUCUGUCGCUGUCCAGGACUUCAAUCCCUAGCCAGCUAGGAACUGACAAUUAUGGUUCCAGGAGCUUCUCUGCCUGGAUAUUAGUGACCCAGGAUAUUAAGAAUACCAAUUACUUUCCAUCUGGGUCAAUUCUAGACUCUGUUUCUGUGCCACUGUUUUGCAAAGGAUGAAGGAGGAAUGAAUCUGGCUCCUAGAACCUUUGCAACAAUUCUGCUGUGUUCCAGUUCUAUUAAUAGCACCAUCUGAGACUCUAGACCCUGAGCACGUCCAGUACUGGAAGUGGACAAGGUAUAGCCAACUAAGGAAGCCAUCUCCCAGUUCUGGGGCUAUAGAACAGUAAAGGGAGAGGGCAGUGGUUCUUUGGGAAGGGUAGUCAGAGCGCCAGCACUGAGGAGAAGACAGCUGCAUCUGUCAGAGACAAAACCAAAAGCAUGAUUCAAGCUGAGUAGAGAAAAAAGCAUCUUCUCAUUACUUCCUAUGAAGGAAAAAUGCAAGAGAAAAAAGGGCAUGGACCUUCCCUGAACAUUUUAGACUUGGGCAAGAGGAAGUUAUAGUUAAUGGAGAGUUUUGAUAAAAUGUAUUUCACUGAAUGUUAGGAGGAUGAAGUGCUUUGUAAACUGUGAAGUGCUAUUCUCCAUAUGUGCAAUCAAAAUCCACCCAGUUGGGGGCGCUGGGCUCAUGCCUGUAAUCCCAGCACUUUGUGAGCCCAAGGUGGAUGGAUCGCUUGAGCCCAGGAGUUUAAGACCAGCCU